rnacentral:rRNA from 1 species
UGGGGAAUCUUGCACAAUGGGGGCAACCCUGAUGCAGCGACGCCGCGUGAGCGAUGAAGCCCUUCGGGGCGUAAAGCUCUUUCGACCGGAACGAUAAUGACGGUACCGGGAGAAGAAGCUGCGGCUAACUACGUGCCAGCAGCCGCGGUAAUACGUAGGCAGCAAGAGUUGUUCGGAGUUACUGGGCGUAAAGAGUGCGUAGGCGGUUUUCUAAGUUCGGUGUGAAAUCUCCCGGCUUAACUGGGAGGGUGCGCCGAAGACUGGGAAGCUGGAGUGUGGGAAAGGCAGGCGGAAUUCCUGGUGUAGCGGUGAAAUGCGUAGAUAUCAGGAGGAACACCGGCGGUGUAGACGGCUUGCUAGACCAUAACUGACGCUGAGGCACGAAAGCGUGGGUAGCAAACA